rnacentral:rRNA from 1 species
AACGUAGGUGGCGAGCGUUAUCCGGAUUCAUUGGGCGUAAAGAGCUUGUAGGCGGUCGCGUAAGUUGGACGUGAAAACUCCGGGCUUAACUUGGAGAGGCCGUUCAAUACUGCGGGACUGGAGGAUGUCAGAGGGGAGUGGAAUUCCUGGUGUAGCAGUGAAAUGCGUAGAUAUCAGGAGGAACACCCGUGGCGAAGGCGGCUCCCUGGGACAUCCCUGACGCUGAGAAGCGAAAGCUAGGGGAGCAAACGGG